rnacentral:rRNA from 1 species
AUGAGGGGCCUGCGUAGCAUCAGCUAGUUGGUGGGGUAAUGGCCUACCAAGGCGAAGACGCUUAGCUGGUCUGAGAGGAUGAUCAGCCACACUGGGACUGAGACACGGCCCAGACUCCUACGGGAGGCAGCAGUGGGGAAUAUUGGACAAUGGGCGCAAGCCUGAUCCAGCCACGCCGCGUGAGUGAUGAAGGCCUUCGGGGUCGUAAAAGCUCUGUGGGGAGGGACGAACGGCGCCAUGAAGAGUGGCGAUUGACGGUACCUCCUUAGCAAGCACCGGCUAACUUCGUGCCAGCAGCCGCGGUAAUACGAAGGGGUGCAAAACGUUGCUCGGAAUCAUUGGGCGUAAAGCGCACGUAGGCGGCUUUCUAAGUCGGAUGUGAAAUCCCUCGGCUUAACCGAGGACGUGCAUCCGAAACUGGGAGGCUUGAGUAUGGAAGAGGGUCGCAGAAUUCCCGGUGUAGAGGUGAAAUUCGUAGAUAUCGGGAGGAAUACCAGUGGCGAAGGC